UUGUGUUUUCCUAUUUGGCGUUGUGUUUCAUGAUUUGUUGAAGUGUUUUCGUAUUUGUUGUUGUGUUUUGCACUUCAGGGCCACCGUAGUAUUGUGCUUGUGCUUCUUCACCAAAUAUUGAACGUUUCAUUGCUGUCACUAAGCUAUCACUAGCUAGCUAACUGUUAGUUAUUACUUUGCUAGUUUGCUACGUAUUACUAGCAAACGUAACUUCACUGAUAACCUAAGUUAACUUACAUGGAUGUAAAUGUCAAAAGACCAGUAUCACUCGAUACAGAGGCCGGCACCUACUGGAGAAAGGACACCUGAUCCUUCAUCUGAACUUUCUGCAGGAGUAGGGACAUCCAGUAGUAGUACUCCAGGGACCAGUGACACACAGGCCAGGAACACACAGCCUGCAUCAAGUGAAGGUGAAGGGACACCCAGGACCACAUCAUGCACUCAGGGCACCAGUCAAAGACAGACGACUGAGACCAGGGACACGCAGCCAAUUGAUCAAAUGGAAAUGGCACUCCUUCAAGAUGAAAGGAGGAGGUGGCGUGAAGUCCUGACCAGAUCCAGCUGACAAUGAUGUGCCUGAGGCUACAGAGCUGCAAACUCCUUAUCUGGACAUCAAUUGAGCACCUGGAGUUGGACAUUUCAUUUGACAAAGACUAUGCAGAUGCACACAUUGCACACAUUAAACACCUCCAGAAGUUUUAUUUUUCACACAUGCUUCCAAGAUUUGUAGAUGAUUUUGUUGCAAAAAAGCUGAAGCUCUGCCCCAAAUACCUGAAUCUGUUGGAAAUACAGUAAGCACAUAACAGAUGUUAUGUCUUGUACACACAACAAACACCAAGAGCACUGUAGAAAAGCAGUAGUAGAAACUAAAAAGUAUAGUAAGAACAUGGAAGUUUUAUUUAGGGAACUGCAGUAUACAACAACUCAACAAUCAAUAAAUACAAUAUGCUAUAACAGACAGGUAUGCUCCAAUAAGGGGAGUAGAGUCCUCAAUCACACCAGGUUAAUUUUAUAAAACACAUUUGAAGGCAGUUUGAAAAGAGAAAGUUAUACAUUAAGCUAUAUCAAAAGACAUCUGUAUUAUUAUCAAAAAAACAUGAGGCAUUACAUUUUAACAAAAAACAUACACUAAUGAAAACACUUGUUUUAUAUGAACUUUUUUCGCGUUAUUUAUAGAGUUUUCAGCACUGUACCUGCAAUGUACAGUGUUAUGUAUUAUAGGUAUGACGGUUGUAGCUGUACCUAAUUACAGUUUUUGAAAUGUUAAAUUAAUGAAAUGUGUAUGUAUGUGUGGAAAUGCAAUAUAUUAAAUGUCUUCUUACUUUUCACUUGAAAUAAGCUCACCUCUUGAAUUCACUAGACCUGCACAGAUCUUGAUUAUUUUAUCAAUUUUUGGGACCAAAUUGAUUGGCACUGUUUGAGAAAGAAUCCUGUACACCUUAAGACGCCUAAUUGCACGUUCAACAUGAAUGCGGGCGUGAGCAAUGCGCCAUGUAUGAGUGACCUCCUCAUUGGUCAGCUGGCAACCUUUGCGUGUAAAUGCUGGAAUGAUUAAGUUCACUCUACGCUCCUCCAGCAAGUCUGUGAAACCAUGAUCACCCAUCAGCUCAUCUCCAGCACGCAAAUAGUCCAGAAACCCAGAGUUCUGUGUUAUGUACCUGUCACUGCAUUUGCCACCAUAAGCAUCUGAAAUGAAAAUGAAUAUUCCAGAGGGAGAAAUUGCCACUAAAUAUUUCACAGUGUUGCUGGCAUAGUAGUGACUGUAUGAUUCACUUCUACUGUUCAGGUUUUUGGCUUUCUGUAAAACAGUCUCUGUGCAGUCAAUUACACAGGUUGUGUUUGAAAAGUGUUCUUUAAAAGCUUGGGGCAACAUUUCUCAGAUUGUUUCACGAGGCAACCACAUAACAAGAUCAUUGGUGUGUUCAGACAUUAUAUCUAUCCAAAUUCCAACAGUCUUGCUGACCUGACCUUGUGAUGUUUUAAAUCGUCGUGCUAAAUCAGCCAUGACAAAAUUUUGUCUUAGCUUCAUUAAGGUCAUUAGGAUUUGGUCCACAACAGGCAUGGAUGUAGAAGUCGGGGAAAAUGGUUGUAGGCAGGAUACAAGAGUGUGAAACUCAGUAAGUGGAAUCCCUGUAUACAAGAGGGAGUCUGCAUCACUCUCCAAAAUAAAAUAUGCAACUGGACAAGGUCAUUUAGGGGGUGAUGUAGUACUCAUUCUGCAUGUGAUGGUAGUGAUAGAUAUUGAGAAAUGGUUGUGCAUGAAAA